ACUGCCACUAGGGAAAGAUCUUUUUCUGGUGAUCCCUCUUUUUUGGAGUUUUCCACUGAAGAAUUCUUGAAUCUGAUAGACUCUUGGAUCCGGAGCUCUCUUCAGCCAGCUGGAAUGUUCUGCUUAGGUGUUACCAGAGGAAAAGUCGUGGUAUUCGCAUACUUUUCUGUAAAAGCACAGAUGCCAUUUUGUCAGAUGGCCCCUCUGCUAUCAUCUCACAUAGCAACAAAAUGUAACAGAAUACCGGCAUGAAGAUUCAACCUCCACUGUCAUACCAACAUCUGCCUCUGGGACAUUGCGAAGCGAUGGAAAUCACUAACUGAGUCUAUGAGAUUCCAAGUAAAUAACAGUGGUGCUCCAGCCUUUUUAGCAUCCUGGUUAGUGGCAGAGCUCAUAGACUCUUGUCAUAUCUAGUGAAAUAUUGUGAAUUUUACAAGGAAGUGUAUGAAAUGUGCUUUU